rnacentral:rRNA from 1 species
AUUGAACGCUGGCGGCAGGCCUAACACAUGCAAGUCGAACGAGUGGCGGACGGGUGAGUAAUGUCUGGGAAACUGCCCGAUGGAGGGGGAUAACUACUGGAAACGGUAGCUAAUACCGCAUACUAUCGGAUGUGCCCAGAUGGGAUUAGCUAGUAGGUGGGGUAAAGGCGCACCUAGGCGACGAUCCCUAGCUGGUCUGAGAGGAUGACCGGCCCAACUGGAACGGAGACACGGUCAGAACUCCUACGGAGGGCAGCAGUGGGGAAUAUUGCACAAGGGGCGCAAGCCUGAUACAGCCAGGCCGCGUGUAUGAAGAAGGCCUUCGGGUUGUAAAGUACGUUGUGCAGGGAGGCGUUACCCGCAGAGGAAGCACCGGCUAACUCCGUGCCAGCAGCCGCGGUAAUAC